rnacentral:rRNA from 1 species
UAAUCGCUGACGAGUGGCGGACGGGUGAGUAAUGCUUGGGAACUUGCCUUUGCGAGGGGGAUAACAGUUGGAAACGACUGCUAAUACCGCAUAACGUCUACGGACCAAACGGGGCUUAGGCUCCGGCGCAAAGAGAGGCCCAAGUGAGAUUAGCUAGUUGGUAAGGUAAAGGCUUACCAAGGCAACGAUCUCUAGCUGUUCUGAGAGGAAGAUCAGCCAUACUGGAACUGAGACACGGUCCAGACUCCUACGGGAGGCAGCAGUGGGGAAUAUUGCACAAUGGGGGAAACCCUGAUGCAGCCAUGCCGCGUGUGUGAAGAAGGCCUUCGGGUUGUAAAGCACUUUCAGUUGUGAGGAAAAGUUAGUAGUUAAUACCUGCUAGCCGUGACGUUAACAACAGAAGAAGCACCGGCUAACUCCGUGCCAGCAGCCGCGGUAAUACGGAGGGUGCGAGCGUUAAUCGGAAUUACUGGGCGUAAAGCGCACGCAGGCGGUUUGUUAAGCUAGAUGUGAAAGCCCCGGGCUCAACCUGGGAUGGUCAUUUAGAACUGGCAGACUAGAGUCUUGGAGAGGGGAGUGGAAUUCCAGGUGUAGCGGUGAAAUGCGUAGAUAUCUGGAGGAACAUCAGUGGCGAAGGCGACUCCCUGGCC